AGAAGUUUUUCAGGCGAUAAAGCAUAUUCAUGAUGGGCAUUGAGUAAAGAGCGAAUCAUGCUAGUUUCUAUUAGUUUAUUAUGUGUUAUUGUUUUCAUUAUUCUAUUAUGCUAUGUUUGUGAGACUGACACAGAGGUUUUGAAUUUGGUUUGGUUUUGUUAAGGGCCUACAAUGGUUCCAAGUUGUAGGUUUGACUUUGUUUUACUUUGGUUGACUUUUUAAGUUGAGUCGUUUUAAAUAUUUUAAAGGAGAGUCUUCCGUUGUGUGUCUUUAAUAGUUGCCCUAGCCGUUUUCACAGUGACGGUAAUAUCUUAGAUUUUCCUAUUUAAAGUUUUAAACAGGGUAAAACAAGUAUUUUAAAAGAAAGGAAUUUCUAGGGUGUUACAGGGGUGACUCAAGAAAUUAAUGUGAAGAGGGUCCUAAAAAAAAAAUCAAGCCUAAUGUCAAUCGUAAGAAACUUAGGGAUAAUGUUAAUGUAGCAAUGGAGGAUGCCUUGGGUUACAAUGAGUGAAGAUUCCAAGAAAAAGCUUGAGCUUAUCGAGAGAAAAUUUAAUGACAAUGAUGAAGGUGGGCAUCAGUCCAAGAAGGAUCAUGAUUUGCUCAUGGAAUGUGUAGAUGCAGUAAGUGCUCUUAAGGAAAUUGAUGGAGCUUUAUUUGCAAAGGCAGCUAAACUAAUACAUGCAUGAUGAUCCAUUGUGAUGUUUCUUAGAUUUCCAAAUGAUAGGAAGAUAAAAUUUGUGCUCAACCUUUAAGCAUUAUCUCGUUUUUCCCCUUAAAUAUGCAUGUUUGAGUAUUUAAACUCAAUUUAGAUCUUAUCAUAAGUAUACUUUUUUUUGGAUUUUGUAUCUGGAUAUGAUUUAAUAUGAAUAAUAAUGGUGAUUGUGGUUGAAUUUUUUUUAUUUUUUUAUUUUUUUUAUCAUGUGCACUGAUAAUAUUCUUUAUGCUUGCUUAUAACAUUUAUAUGUAAAAAUUUCAGAUAUUUAUGGAUUUCGACAUUGAAGAUAUUUUAUCGGGUUUUGACAAGGAAUAUUUUUAACAAAAAUAUUGACAAUUUAUAUUAACUUACAAAAUAGCAGGUUCCUUAAAAAGAAACCCCGUUUGCAAAGAAUUUCAAAGUUAACUGGCUACCAAUAUGUCCUAGAACUGUUUAACGGUCAUCUAAUGACAUGUUAUGAUUUGAUUCAAGUGACUCCAUAGAUCUUUAUUAGCUUGUGUGAAGAAUUGAAAAAAAGGGAAAAGUUGAAAGAUUCCAAAAUUUAUAUAGAUUCAAGAACUUGUUGCAAUGUUUCUUCUUAUUAUUUAUCAUAAUUCAAGGCACAAACUAAUAGCUGAUAGAUUUCAACACUCCUUAGAAUCUACUCACCGCCAUUUUCGUAAGGUUUUGUAUGACGUUGCAUCAUUGUUGAAGCAUUGGAUUGUUCCUCCGACAUUUGAUGAAACAUCUCUAGAAACUAAAAAUAACCCAAGAUACUAUCCAAUUUUCAAGAAUUGCAUAGGAGCUAUUGAUGGAACUCAUGUAUCAGCACGUGUGCAACAAGAUGAUCAAAUUCUUUAUCAUGGAAAAGAAAAAAAGCCUACGAUGAAUGUAAUGUGUGCUUGCUCAUUUGACAUGAAAUUUUACAUUUGUGAUGGCUGGAUCUGUUAUCUAAAUUAUUGACUUAUUUGAACGCAUAAUACUAAGUGAUUACAAUCUAUGCAUGCAAGGGAGGUAAUUUCCUUAAAGAUUUAGAUAAUACUAAGUGAUUACAAUCUAUGCAUAGAUUGUAAUCACUUAGUAUUAUGUGUUGAAAUAAGUCAAUAAUUUAGAUAAUAAAUAAUUGACUUAUUGAAACCUAUUAAAUAGUGAUUAUCUAAUAGAUCACAUUUUUGAACUCACCAUGUAAUUUCUAUUAAUACAUUCUUAAAGGAUACAUCAAAGUUACAAUGAUCUAUAUGAAUACAUCAUGAACUUAUUUUCCUUUUGACA